UUAUUUCAAGGGCAUCGGUAAUCGAAGGUGAUAACCAUCUUUCGGCGCCGCACUGUACUAAACUAACUAAAGUGGGGGAUAGUGAGGGGAUAAAUUUCCUUAAGGAACUCGGCAAAAUCCCAAUGGCCCACCAGGGCAUAUAUUGGAACACGGGCCUCGACUGUUUACCAAAAACAUAGCCCUCGGCCAAUAUGAAAAUAGAAGUAUGGAGGGUGAGGCCUGCCCAAUGGUUGUAUCUAAAAGCGGUUGAUAAAAGUCGACCGUGUAAGGACAAUUGAAUGGCCGCGGUAACACUGACCGUGAUAAUGUAGCGUAAUCAAUAGCCAAUUAAUUGUUGGCCAGUAUGAAUGGCGCCACGAAGGCCCCACUGUCUUAAGGAAAUUCCCAGUGAAAUUGAAUUCGUAGUGAAGAUGCUACGUCCAAUUUGUUAGACGAAAAGACCCCGUUGAGCUUUACUGGGGCACUUACACGGCCCCGGCCUUCAAAACUGGGUUGAUAAGCCAAGGCUUACCAUACCUAGGGACCGGCCGAAUUUAAAUGGGCGGCUUAGACUAUGUGGCAGCCCCCCCCGUCGGGGCAGAUGAAACCCCACUCCCCCAUGUCAAAGGGGCUAACCCCCCCCCUUGGGGGGGACAGUGUAAGUAGGACAGUUUGGUUGGGGCGACCGCCUUUUAGAGAGUAACGAAGGUGCGCUUAAGGUGCGUAAUUAAUGACUGAAGCCUGACUGCGAGGGGGACACCCCGAGCAGACACCCCCAAGCCCGCCCUCGCCUUCGUACCAACGGAGGGAGGGCGGCGGUGGGGUGGGCCAUAGUGACCCGUUAAUUUAGAGUGGAAUAGUUAACGAUCAACGAAUAAAAGUUACCACGGGGAUAACAGCGUAAUAUCGUUAGAGAGUUCACAUCGACGACGAUGUUUGCGACCUCGAUGUUGAAUUGCGGC
rnacentral:rRNA from 1 species